GCACCUAUGGAGUGCACUUGUAUAGAUGGGUGUGGAAUGGCCAUUUGAUGCGUUGUGUUGGGUUGCAGGCUGUCCACUACAUGUCAGCUGUGAAAUUCUUCGGUGAAGGUAUCUUCCUGCAUGAGCUUCUAUGCUUGUUAUGAGUUGAGAGCAACGGUACAAUUCGUGUGGCACAACGAUCCGUUUCGUCGCGGGAGAAGGCGGAAGUGUCUACAUUCGGCGUUAAAGGAGGAUGGCGCUGCAG